GUUUGCCUGGUGCUCUCAGGGGCAGAAGACAGUAUUGGACCACCUGUAACUGAAGUUACAAAAGGCUGUAAGCUUCCUUGUGACUGUUGGAAACUGAAUCCAAGCUUCCUGGAAGAGCAUCCAGAGCUUUCCAUGGUUACCUCCAGCAAGUUCACUGAGUGCGCCGGGGCUUCUGGAGACCUAUUUUUCUCCAAAUCCGCCCGAAAUCUCCACUUUCCUGCUACCAGUUCACUACAAAUUCAUCCAACACCGGCUACAUUGAAGUAGGAGAAAAAGGACACCAUGUGUACACCAGCACCGUUCCACAGUAUCAGACUCAUAUUGCUUCAUUUCCAGGGGUGGAGGCCAGAUAUACCAGUGAGUUAUAUGCAGCCAAGACUGAAUAAGACAGACUCUUACUAAAGAAUGCUUAUUGUAAGAAAAUAAGCAAAUGACAUAUUCAACAGCGAUGUCUGUUUAUGUAAGCCAGUUCGUACAAGGAAGACAAUAAACUGAAUCAACCUGAAAGCAAAGAUUUGAAGAAUCUGGACAAGGAGAAGAGCUACAAGGCUCUAGUGAUUCAAGUGAGACUCUGGUGGGGGUUGGGUCUACGGACUCUGCGAUUAGAAGUGUCAGAAGCAUAACUAUGGUCAAGUGGCUAUACAGACAGUGGCAGAGUGCC